AGCCUUGUGUAUUCUGCACCAGGAUCAGGUAUCAGUCAAUAUGGGGAGGGAGAAGCCUUGUGUAUUCUGCACCAGGAUCAGGUAUCAGUCAAUAUGGGGAGGGAGAAGCCUUGUGUAUUCUGCACCAGGAUCAGGUAUCAGUCAAUAUGGGGAGGGAGAAGCCUUGUGUAUUCUGCACCAGGAUCAGGUAUCAGUCAAUAUGGGGAGGGAGAAGCCUUGUGUAUUCUGCACCAGGAUCAGGUAUCAGUCAAUAUGGGGAGGGAGAAGCCUUGUGUAUUCUGCACCAGGAUCAGGUAUCAGUCAAUAUGGGGAGGGAGAAGCCUUGUGUAUUCUGGACCAGGAUCAGGUAUCAGUCAAUAUGGGGAGGGAGAAGCCUUGUGUAUUCUGCACCAGGAUCAGGUAUCAGUCAAUAUGGGGAGGGAGAAGCCUUGUGUAUUCUGCACCAGGAUCAGGUAUCAGUCAAUAUGGGGAGGGAGAAGCCUUGUGUAUUCUGCACCAGGAUCAGG